CGGGGACCCGCACAAGCGGUGGAGCAUGUGGUCUAAUUCGAAGAUACGCGAAAACCUUACCUGGCCUGACAUUGAUAGAAUCCUGCAGAGAUACGGGAGUGCCGGCUUGCCGGAACUUGAAAACAGGUGCUGCACGGCUGUCGUCAGCUCGUGUCGUGAGAUGUUGGGUUAAGUCCCGCAACGAGCGCAACCCACGUCCUUAGUUGCCAGCAUUUCGGAUGGGAACUCUAAGGAGACUGCCUUCGCAAGGAGGAGGAAGGUGUGGACGACGUCAAGUCAUCAUGGCCCUUACGGCCAGGGCUACACACGUGCUACAAUGGGGCGUACAAAGAGCAGCAAUACCGCGAGGUGGAGCAAAUCUCAAAAACGCCUCCCAGUUCAGAUUGCACUCUGCAACUCGAGUGCAUGAAGUUGGAAUCGCUAGUAAUCGUAGAUCAGCAUUGCUACGGUGAAUACGUUCCCGGGUCUUGUACCCACCGCCCGUCACACCAUGGGAGUUGAUUUCACCCGGAGCGGGGAUGCUAAAGUAGCUACCUUUCACGGUGGAAUCAGCGACUGGGGUGA
rnacentral:rRNA from 1 species